rnacentral:rRNA from 1 species
UAAACUAGGAUUAGAUACCCUAUUAUUUUAAAUGUUAAAAUUUUACCAGGGUAGUAAUAGUUAUGUUCUUUAAACCUAAAGAAUUUGGCGGUAUUUUAGUCUAUUCAGAGGAAUUUGUCCCUUAAUCGAUAAUCCUCGUUUUAAUCUUACUUAAUUUUGUAAUCAGUAUGUAUACCGCCGUUAUAAGUUUAUUUUAUUAGGAUUGAUUGUGAUUUACUGGUUUUUAUAUUAAAAUUUAUUUCAGGUCAAGGUGCAGCUUAUAUUUAAGUGGAGAUGAAUUACAAUGUUUUAUGAAUAUACGGAUUUAAUGAUGAAAUUUUUAUUAAUGAAGGUGGAUUUGUUAGUAAUUUUAUUUAUAUUGGUUUUUUGAAAAUAGCUCUAAAAUAAGUACACAUCG